GAUGAAGAACGCAGCGAAAUGCGAUACGUAGUGUGAAUUGCAGAAUUCAGUGAAUCAUCGAAUCUUUGAACGCACAUUGCACCUCUCGGUAUUCCGGGAGGUAUGCCUGUUCGAGCGUCAUUUGUACCCUCAAGCUCUGCUUGGUGUUGGGUGUUUGUUCCGCCUCUGUGUGUGAACUCGCCUCAAAACAAUUGGCAGCCGGCGUACUUGUUUCGGAGCGCAGCACAUUUUGCGAUCCAAAUCAACGUACAGCGGCAUCCAAGAAGCCUUAUUUAACGCUCUUGACCUCGGAUCAGGUAGGGAUACCCGCUGAACUUAAGCAUAUCAAUAAGCGGAGGA
rnacentral:misc_RNA from 1 species